rnacentral:rRNA from 1 species
UACCAAAAACACAGGUUUGUGCUAAAUCGAAAGAUGACGUAUACGAGCUGACGCCUGCCCGGUGCUGGAAGGUUAAAAGGAGAUGUGCAAGCAUUGAAUUGAAGCCCCAGUGAACGGCGGCCGUAACUAUAACGGUCCUAAGGUAGCGAAAUUCCUUGUCAGGUAAGUUCUGACCCGCAUGAAAGGCGUAAUGAUCUGGGCACUGUCUCAACAGCCCGCCCGGCGAAAUUGUAGUACCGGUGAAGAUGCCGGUUACCCGCGACAAGACGGAAAGACCCCAUGGAGCUUUACUGUAGCCUGAUAUUGGGUUUCGGUGUUGCAUGCACAGGAUAGAUGGGACGCUGGGAAAGAAGCGCUUUGGCGUUUCUGGAGCGGACGUUGGGAUACCAUCCUUGCGACAUUGGAAUUCUAACCUGCGCCUCUGAAUCGAGGCGGGGGACAUUGUCAGGUGGGCAGUUUGACUGGGGCGGUCGCCUCCUAAAAAGUAGCGGAGGCGUUCAAAGGUUCGUUCGAUCUGGACGGAAACCAGAUGAUUGAGUGCAAACGCAUAAACGAGCCUGACUGCGAGACUGACGGGUCGAGCAGAGACGAAAGUCGGAGUUAGUGAUCCGGUGGUAUGUGAGUGGAAAUGCCAUCGCUCAACGGAUAAAAGUUACCCUGGGGAUAACAGGCUGAUCUCCCCCAAGAGUCCACAUCGACGGGGAGGUUUGGCACCUCGAUGUCGGCUCAUCGCAUCCUGGGGCUGAAUUCGGUCCCAAGGGUUUGGCUGUUCGCCAAUUAAAGCGGUACGCGAGCUGGGUUCAGAACGUCGUGAGACAGUUCGGUCCCUAUCUGUCGUGGGCGCAGGAUAUUUGAAAGGCGCUGUCCCUAGUACGAGAGGACCGGGAUGGACGAACCUCUGGUGCACCAGUUGUCACGCCAGUGGCACAGCUGGGCAGCUAUGUUCGGAUCGGAUAAACGCUGAAAGCAUCUAAGCGUGAAGCCGGCCUUAAGAUAAGAUAUCCCACUGAGUCAAUCAGGUAAGACCCCUUGAAGACUACAAGGUUGAUAGGCACACAGUGUAAGCGGAGUGAUCCGUUCAGCUAGCGUGUACUAAUAGGUCGAGGGCUUGACCCC